UUGGUUUUGAGCUUCCAGUGGGCAGACAUAAUUCUUAUUUCGUCUUUCAACUUAGCUAUUUCUUCAUCUUUAACAAUCAAAAGUUUAUUGAUCUUUUCAAAAUUUUUCGGAGAUACCUCAUCUAAUAAUUUCCUAAGUUCACAAUCUUUUCCAGCUCCAGUCUUGGCUAUAGCCUGCAUAAUGUCUUGCUCAAUUCUAAGAACUUCAUCUUUCAAUUGCUUUUGUGAAUAUUCCCUUGCCUGUAGAUCCUUUUGUAAAUUUUCUAAUUGCUCUCCUAGCCUCGUCAUACGAUCCUCGUGCUCUUUUAACGAGCUAUUCUUCACGUCUAAUUCCUUUAACAAAGACAAGCACUGAAGCUGAGCUGAUUGAGCUGAUGCAGCGCUUGCAUCUGCAGUUGCUUGAGUGGCUACAAGCUGUGAUCUAAGACCAUCCAACUCCUUAAGGUACUUCUCAGCAGUAGUAGCUGAAGCCUGAAGCUGGCCAUUCCUAUCCUCCAAUCGCUUCUGCAAUGAACGAAUCUCUUCUUCCAUGGCUUUUGCCUUAUUUUCUGCUUCCUGUCUUGUUAGUGUCUCUCUAACAAAUGAAUGCUCUUGAGAUGCAAGGCGGCUCCUAACUUCCUUUAACUCUGCAGCUAACGAAACCACGUUCCGUCUAAAACUCUGUUUCUUCUCAUUCAAAUCCUUCAACAAUGGAUCAAUCUCCCCAACUGAAACCGACGGUGAAGAAGAAAUUGAUGAACUUGAAGAUGUUUUGUCCAAAACCGACAUCAGAGCUUGAUAAGUUUAGUCAACUGGUAACUAUAAGCAGUCUUUGAAGAUCUAAC
rnacentral:misc_RNA from 1 species